rnacentral:rRNA from 1 species
GAUGAACGCUGGCGGCGUGCCUAAUACAUGCCAGUCGAGCGAACAGACGAGGAGCUUGCUCCUCUGACGUUAGCGGCGGACGGGUGAGUAACACGUGGAUAACCUACCUAUAAGACUGGGAUAACUUCGGGAAACCGGAGCUAAUACCGGAUAAUAUAUUGAACCGCAUGGUUCAAUAGUGAAAGACGGUUUUGCUGUCACUUAUAGAUGGAUGCGCGCCGCAUUAGCUAGUUGGUAAGGUAACGGCUUACCAAGGCAACGAUGCGUAGCCGACCUGAGAGGGUGAUCGGCCACACUGGAACUGAGACACGGUCCAGACUCCGACGGGAGGCAGCAGUAGGGAAUCUUCCGCAAUGGGCGAAAGCCUGACGGAGCAACGCCGCGCGAGUGAUGAAGGUCUUCGGAUCGUAAAACUCUGUUAUUAGGGAAGAACAAAUGUGUAAGUAACUAUGCACGUCUUGACGGUACCUAAUCAGAAAGCCACGGCUAACUACGUG